UUAAAAAUAAUGCGUUACUGUUAUCGUUAUUGUGGUAACUCACCGUUAUAUGUUAUCAAAUUUAAAAAGCAACUCAUUACCAUUACUUAAAAGUAACGAUAAAAAAUCGUUAUUUUUCGUUACCUUUUUGUAAUUAUGCAGGAUGAGACGAGCCUACUACUCACCGAUUUUGAUGAAAUUAGACUCAAUCGACACGUUUUUGCACGAAAUGAACGAAUCUGGCAAAAAAAUAAGUCUCUGUCCCGUAAACUGAGAUUAAUGGUUAAAGUUGAUGACUAUUGAGUUUUUAGUGCUUAUGCUAAAGCGACGAUACUGAUUGAAACAAAAAUAAGCAAAAAGUUUUUUAUGUAUUUAGUAUUUAUAAUUUUAUUGUCCGUAACGGCCGUGACCUAUAAAAAAGUAACGAGACAACGAGACAAGUAACGGGAUCAAUUUCGUUACUCGUUAUUAAAGAUGUAACGUCGUUACUUUUUUUACUAAUAAAAAAAAUUACGAAAAAGUAA